CGAACGCUGGCGGUAUGCUUAACACAUGCAAGUCGCACGGACCCUUCGGGGUUAGUGGCGCACGGGUGAGUAACACGUAGGAAUCUGUCUUGAGGUGGGGGAUAACUCCGGGAAACUGGAGCUAAUACCGCAUGAUAACUGAGGUUCAAAGGUCGCAAGACCGCCUUGAGAGGGGCCUGCGUUCGAUUAGUUAGUUGGUGGGGUAAUGGCCUACCAAGACGAUGAUCGAUAGCUGGUUUGAGAGGAUGAUCAGCCACACUGGGACUGAGACACGGCCCAGACUCCUACGGGAGGCAGCAGUGGGGAAUAUUGGACAAUGGGGGCAACCCUGAUCCAGCAAUGCCGCGUGUGUGAAGAAGGUCUUCGGAUUGUAAAACACUUUCGUUGGGGACGAUGAUGACGGUACCCAAAGAAGAAGCCCCGGCUAACUUCGUGCCAGCAGCCGCGGUAAUACGAAGGGGGCGAGCGUUGCUCGGAAUAACUGGGCGUAAAGGGCGCGUAGGCGGCCGAUAGCUGUCAGAUGUGAAAUUUUUGGGCUCAACCCGAAAACUGCAUUUGAUACGUAUUGGCUAGAGUGCGAGAGAGGAUUGCGGAAUUCCCAGUGUAGAGGUGAAAUUCGUAGAUAUUGGGAAGAACACCAGUUGCGAA
rnacentral:rRNA from 1 species